ACCUAUGGGCACAAAAAGCAGGAACGAGUAGCGGUGGCUGAAGAACGAGCAGGAGCUUGAAUUUCAGUUUUCUUAUGAGGAAUUUUCCAGAAAAGAUAUCUUCACUGUGAAAUAACUAAAUAAAUGCCCACUCAGUACAGUAAGUAUUGAUAUCGUCCUAUAGCAUUUGGCUAGAAAGUGGUGUCAAUAGGGUUUUUCCUUCAGACUUUGCAAUACUGUUCAGAAGGGCCAAUGCCAAUCCUUCUGUGAGGAAGUUUUUUUCUUCCUAAAUAUGUUAAUUGCCUCAACUUGGACUAACGGUCACACUUGUGAAUAUGAGUGUAAGAAACAGUUUAUUUCUCACAUGUAUGAAAAGGAAAUUUUCUUUCAUCUAUCUCAGGCCCCUAUUCAGCGUAAAAUCAAGAUUAUUUAACUUGCAAGAUUAAACAACGACCUUAUUUCAAAUGAAAUAAAAUUCAGUCUGAUCAGAAACCCCUUGGAGCAGUUUAUAUUAACCUAAUUAUCUUUUUACUGCAGUAAGUUAAUUGAGGAUUAUGGAAUGCAUCUAAAAAGCAGUUAUAUUUACAGGUCCCAAAAUUAAAUGCUAAGGAAAAGCAUUUCUGCAAACCCAGGUAGUACGGACAAACCGAAGGGAGUUUUAUUCUGUCAAGUUUUACUCUAAAUUCAAUCGUUGAUCAGCUAGAUCUCGGCUUGGUUAUUCUUGGAGGAGCUGCCUUGCAAAUGAUUCCACUCUGAGCUCGCCGGCCACAGUAGCGUGAAAUGGAUGGCAGUCAGUUUCCUCUUCCUAAGACUGGGUGUGGUUUCUCUGGGCAGACUACACAGUGGCGACUCUGGCGGGAUUUGAGGAGCCUGGAGAGGCCCACCACGUGUGUGUCUCCCCCUAGUGACCAACGGGCUGAAGUUCCUGUGGUUAAAGGCAAUUGCUGAUUUUGUCAUUAGCAGGAAGGUGAAGCUCAACGACCUCCUGCGUGUACAGCACCAUUCUAGAAGCUGGAUGUGUUUAAAGAUAUGAUGCAAUAUGUACCCAGAAGGCAUAAGACUAGAUCACUAGGGUACAAAUUAAAAUAUCAAGUUGCAUACGCUGAGUAUGGGAUUAGGUCAGCGGAACACGCUUUGGAAAACACUGCUUUAACGACCUCAUUCUGAGUCCCUGUAAUGCUUAAGAUUAUAGCACAGUUUAGGCACCUUAUAUACAUUAUGAUGGAAUGCUUUCCUAGAGUGAUAUUCUGUGGUGGAAAGAGCAAAUCAAAGGUCUUUGUGUUCUCUGUGACCGUGGAAGAAAUUGCCAUUAAGUAGUAAUAUAAAUAGGGGUUUUAAAAAACGUGGGAAAAGUCUGAAGAAGCAUUUGCAGAAACUCCUUACAAAGUCAGUGACAGCUAGGCCAGGCCAAGGUGGGCGGAUCACUUAAGGCCAGGAGUUUGAGACCAGCCUGGCCAACAUGGCAAAACCCUGUCUCUACUAAAAAUACAAAAAUUAGCUGAGCGUGGGUGGCUGAGAUGGGAGAAUUGCUUGAACCCAGGAGGCAGAGGUUGCAGUGAGCUGAGAUCGCACCACUGCACUCCAGUCUAGGCAACAGUGCAAGACUCUGUCUCCAAGAAAAAAA
rnacentral:lncRNA from 1 species